UCAGCACACGCCAGCCACGGUGACGAACGCGUUACCAACUGCCAAACUUAUGACAUUCCAUUUUCAAAUUGGAUUGCCAUAUUGCCAGGUAAACUUUGCCAUGAUGGUUCUGCUGUCACGCACGGGAGCGCUACCUUGCUAUUCAGUUGGCGGGCAAUUAUUUAACGGCAAGUUCGACCCCAUAAAAUGUGGUGGAGCGGCAAUUCAAAGGUUUUUAAGGGCCGCUUGUUUCAUUUUUGUAAUGUGAGGGAAAUUACGUUUAAUGGCCAGUGAGUUUUCAGCACUAGUUAAGAAGAUCUGACAAAGAGUUUGUCCUUUAAAAUUGAUAAAUUAUGUUUCGUUCCUUUCGUCUGUUGUUAGAGGGAAGGAUUAACGGUUAAUAUUAUUUUAUACUCGAUUGCAAUGAGAAUAUUUAAUUGAAUUAAAUUUUGAAUCACUUCAAUCUUUGUUAUAAAUGUUAUAAAAUUUAAGUUAUAAAUCGAGAAAUUUCGUCAUUUGAUUAAUAUUAAGAAUCAGUACAUUUCAAUUGGUAGUUUGUGAAUUUCGUUUAUUGAUAAAUGUAAAUAAAAUGUGGGAUGACGUUUUCUAGACGAAUUGAAGCUUGAUAUUGUAAAUAUUUAUUGUAGUUCAAAAGUCGUAUCAAACUUUUAAAUAUUAUUGAUUUAACUUUUUCAUAAAAUCUUUUUUCAAUUAAUGAAAUAACCUCGGCCAUUUUAGUCUAUAUCAAGUCUCAUAAGUGUUAUGAAAACCUCUGUAAAGUUUGUCUCGUCUGAUUUAAUAUUAAAACGUAUUCAAACGUCUAGAAAUAAUUUUCGUGUCGGAAAUGACACGACGCCUAGCGCUAUGGUAUGCUUGGAGAGACGCCAAAGAGUACACAAUUACGAUAUUCUGAACAAGAUACGAAUCAUCUCUGUACGUUAUAAUAUUAUUUGUCAUGCUGAAAUAACCAAUAUAUUUCUAAGUAUCUUAUAUAGUAGAGAUCAUGAUAAUAUAGAAGGAUAUUUUACGAUUAUAAGCUAAGGCAAUCCUUAAAACCAAAUGCAUGCGCAAAGAAAUUGUAUCCUCCAGAAUACAAAUAAACAUAAUUGACAUUUGUA